rnacentral:tRNA from 1 species
ACCUGGUUGGUUCAGCUGGAAGAGCAUGUGGCUCUUGAUCGCAGGGUUAUGAGUUUGAGCCCCAUGUCAGGUG